AGGGGUGUAGCUCAACUGGCUAGAGCACUGGUCUCCAAAACCAGCGGUUCUGGGUUCGAGUCCCAGCACCCCUGCCA
rnacentral:tRNA from 1 species